rnacentral:rRNA from 1 species
AUUGAACGCUGGCGGCAGGCCUAACACAUGCAAGUCGAACGGUAACAGAAAGCAGCUUGCUGCUUUGCUGACGAGUGGCGGACGGGUGAGUAAUGUCUGGGAAACUGCCUGAUGGAGGGGGAUAACUACUGGAAACGGUAGCUAAUACCGCAUAACGUCGCAAGACCAAAGAGGGGGACCUUCGGGCCUCUUGCCAUCGGAUGUGCCCAGAUGGGAUUAGCUAGUAGGUGGGGUAACGGCUCACCUAGGCGACGAUCCCUAGCUGGUCUGAGAGGAUGUCCAGCCACACUGGAACUGAGACACGGUCCAGACUCCUACGGGAGGCAGCAGUGGGGAAUAUUGCACAAUGGGCGCAAGCCUGAUGCAGCCAUGCCGCGUGUAUGAAGAAGGCCUUCGGGUUGUAAAGUACUUUCAGCGGGGAGGAAGGGAGUAAAGUUAAUACCUUUGCUCAUUGACGUUACCCGCAGAAGAAGCACCGGCUAACUCCGUG